AACGAACGCUGGCGGCAUGCCUAACACAUGCAAGUCGAACGAGACCUUCGGGUCUAGUGGCGCACGGGUGCGUAACGCGUGGGAACCUGCCCUUAGGUUCGGAAUAACUCCCCGAAAGGGGUGCUAAUACCGGAUAAUGUCUUCGGACCAAAGAUUUAUCGCCUUUGGAUGGGCCCGCGUUGGAUUAGCUAGUUGGUAGGGUAAAAGCCUACCAAGGCGACGAUCCAUAGCUGGUCUGAGAGGAUGAUCAGCCACACUGGGACUGAGACACGGCCCAGACCCCUAGGGGAGGCAGCAGGGGGGAAAAUUGGAAAAGGGGCGAAAGCCUGAUCCAGAAAGGCCGGGGGAGUGAUAAAGGCCUUAGGGUUGUAAAGCUCUUUUACCCGGGAUGAUAAUGACAGUACCGGGAGAAUAAGCCCCGGCUAACUCCGU
rnacentral:rRNA from 1 species